UACGAGAGGUGCAAGCGUUAUCCGGAUUUACUGGGCGUAAAGCGUCCGCAGAUGUUCUUAAAACUCUUUGGUAAAAUCCCUGGGCUCAACCCGGGAAUCGUCAAAGAAAGUUUAAGAAUCGAGGUAGUGAGAGGGAAGUAGAAUUCUCGGUGUAGGAGUUAAAUCCGUUGAUAUCGAGAGGAAUACCAAAAGCGAAGGCAGCUUCCUGGCACUUACCUGACAUUCAUGGACGAAAGCGUGGGGAGCGAAAAGG
rnacentral:rRNA from 1 species